rnacentral:rRNA from 1 species
GAUGAACGCUGGCGGCGUGCCUAAUACAUGCGAGUCGAGCGAACAGACGAGGAGCUUGCUCCUCUGACGUUAGCGGCGGACGGGUGAGUAACACGUGGAUAACCUACCUAUAAGACUGGGAUAACUUCGGGAAACCGGAGCUAAUACCGGAUAAUAUAUUGAACCGCAUGGUUCAAUAGUGAAAGACGGUUUUGCUGUCACUUAUAGAUGGAUCCGCGCCGCAUUAGCUAGUUGGUAAGGUAACGGCUUACCAAGGCGACGAUGCGUAGCCGACCUGAGAGGGUGAUCGGCCACACUGGAACUGAGACACGGUCCAGACUCCUACGGGAGGCAGCAGUAGGGAAUCUUCCGCAAUGGGCGAAAGCCUGACGGAGCAACGCCGCGUGAGUGAUGAAGGUCUUCGGAUCGUAAAACUCUGUUAUUAGGGAAGAACAAAUGUGUAAGUAACUAUGCACGUCUUGACGGUACCUAUCAGAAAGCCACGGCUAACUACGUG